CAUCAUGAUUUACAUUUGAGUGAGUGGCGAACUGGUGAGUAACACGUGGGAAACCUGCCCAGAAGCGGGGGAUAACACCUGGAAACAGAUGCUAAUACCGCAUAACAACUUGGACCGCAUGGUCCGAGUUUGAAAGAUGGCUUCGGCUAUCACUUUUGGAUGGUCCCGCGGCGUAUUAGCUAGAUGGUGGGGUAACGGCUCACCAUGGCAAUGAUACGUAGCCGACCUGAGAGGGUAAUCGGCCACAUUGGGACUGAGACACGGCCCAAACUCCUACGGGAGGCAGCAGUAGGGAAUCUUCCACAAUGGACGAAAGUCUGAUGGAGCAACGCCGCGUGAGUGAAGAAGGGUUUCGGCUCGUAAAACUCUGUUGUUAAAGAAGAACAUAUCUGAGAGUAACUGUUCAGGUAUUGACGGUAUUUAACCAGAAAGCCACGGCUAACUACGUGCCAGCAGCCGCGGUAAUACGUAGGUGGCAAGCGUUGUCCGGAUUUAUUGGGCGUAAAGCGAGCGCAGGCGGUUUUUUAAGUCUGAUGUGAAAGCCUUCGGCUCAACCGAAGAAGUGCAUCGGAAACUGGGAAACUUGAGUGCAGAAGAGGACAGUGGAACUCCAUGUGUAGCGGUGAAAUGCGUAGAUAUAUGGAAGAACACCAGUGGCGAAGGCGGCUGUCUGGUCUGUAACUGACGCUGAGGCUCGAAAGUAUGGGUAGCAAACAGGAUUAGAUACCCUGGUAGUCC
rnacentral:rRNA from 2 species